GGGACAGAGUGGGGAACGUCUUGCACUACGGCAGAUGAGGGUCACGGUGGGUGGUGAGGGUCACGGUGGCUGGUUUGGGGCGAAACAGGUUAGAACCCGCAGAUUGCCGCUCGCGGCUAUAUUUAUUAUUAUUAUUUUUUGUUGUCUGCCGCUUGAGCUCAAAUUCCCGUGAGCUGGAAUGAGCCAGAAACCUGAAACUUGGCCCAAUGAUUGGAAAUGAUGUGCAUCAACUUUUAUUAAAAUAUGAGCCCAGUCGGCCACAUGGUGGCGCUGUAAUUAAGGCUUAAAAAUGACUUUUUUGGGAGGCCACGCCCCUCACACCAUAAGUCUGAUUGACUUGAAAUUUGACACACAGGUCCAGCUCAAUGUGCUCUACAAAAAAGCCUCAAGGACCAUUAAGCUCCGCCUGACUAGAUUUUUUGCUAAUUUGCAUAAUUUGAAAAACAGUAACAUGACAUAAACUUUUACAAUUUUAACUCAAUCAACACCAAACUUG